UACGGGAGGCAGCAGUGGGGAAUAUUGCACAAUGGGCGCAAGCCUGAUGCAGCCAUGCCGCGUGUAUGAAGAAGGCCUUCGGGUUGUAAAGUACUUUCAGUCGUGAGGAAGGUGUUAAGGUUAAUAACCUUAGCAAUUGACGUUAGCGACAGAAGAAGCACCGGCUAACUCCGUGCCAGCAGCCGCGGUAAUACGGAGGGUGCGAGCGUUAAUCGGAAUUACUGGGCUAAAGGGCACGCAGGCGGUUAAUUAAGUUGGAUGUGAAAUCCCCGGGCUUAACCUGGGAAUGGCAUUCAAGACUGGUUAGCUAGAGUCUUGUAGAGGGGGUAGAAUUCCAUGUGUAGCGGUGAAAUGCGUAGAGAUGUGGAGGAAUACCGGUGGCGAAGGCGGCCCCUGGGACAAAGGACUGACGCUCAUGUGCGAAAGCGUGGGGAGCAAACAGGGAUUAGAUACC
rnacentral:rRNA from 1 species